rnacentral:rRNA from 2 species
UACGUAGGGGGCGAGCGUUAUCCGGAAUUAUUGGGCGUAAAGAGUGCGUAGGUGGUAACUUAAGCGCGGGGUUUAAGGCAAUGGCUUAACCAUUGUUCGCCCUGCGAACUGGGAUACUUGAGUGCAGGAGAGGAAAGCGGAAUUCCUAGUGUAGCGGUGAAAUGCGUAGAUAUUAGGAGGAACACCAGUGGCGAAGGCGGCUUUCUGGACUGAAACUGACACUGAGGCACGAAAGUGUGGGGAGCAAACAGG